rnacentral:rRNA from 1 species
GAUGAACGCUAGCGGCAGGCCUAAUACAUGCAAGCCGAACGGUAAUUCUGAUAGCAAUAUUGGAACUAGAGUGGCGUAAGGGUGCGUAACACGUAUGCAAUCUACCCGCAACAGGAGGAUAGCUCCCCGAAAGGGGAAUUAACCCUCCAUGAGAUCACACGAGGGCAUCCGAGAGUGAUUAAAUUUGAGGAGGUUGUGGAUGAGCAUGCGACUGAUAGCUAGUUGGCAGUGUAACGGACUACCAAGGCGAUGAUCAGUAGGGGAACUGAGAGGUUGAU